AGUGAACGCUGGCGGUAGGCCUAACACAUGCAAGUCGAACGGCAGCACAGUAAGAGCUUGCUCUUACGGGUGGCGAGUGGCGGACGGGUGAGGAAUACAUCGGAAUCUACUUUUUCGUGGGGGAUAACGUAGGGAAACUUACGCUAAUACCGCAUACGACCUACGGGUGAAAGCAGGGGAUCUUCGGACCUUGCGCGAUUGAAUGAGCCGAUGUCGGAUUAGCUAGUUGGCGGGGUAAAGGCCCACCAAGGCGACGAUCCGUAGCUGGUCUGAGAGGAUGAUCAGCCACACUGGAACUGAGACACGGACCAGACUCCUACGGGAGGCAGCAGUGGGGAAUAUUGGAAAUGGGCGCAAGCCUGAUCCAGCCAUACCGCGUGGGUGAAGAAGGCCUUCGGGUUGUAAAGCCCUUUUGUUGGGAAAGAAAAGCAGCAGGUUAAUACCCCGCUGUUCUGACGGUACCCAAAGAAUAAGCACCGGCUAACUUCGUG
rnacentral:rRNA from 1 species